rnacentral:rRNA from 1 species
CAUCACUACGCUAGAUGCAUAUCAAUAAGCGGAGGAAAAGAAACUAACAAGGAUUCCCCUAGUAACGGCGAGUGAAGCGGGAAGAGCUCAAAUUUGAAAUCUUCAAGGGUUUCCCUUGACGAAUUGUAGUUUAAAGAAGUGUUUUCUGUUAGAGAGGUGGUAAAAGUUCUUUGGAAUAGGACAUCAUAGAGGGUGAGAAUCCCGUAUUUGAUCACUUUCUACUAACGUUGUGAUACACUUUCAAAGAGUCGGAUUGUUUGGGAAUGCAGUCCAAAAUGGGUGGUAAAUUUCAUCUAAAGCUAAAUAUUGGCGAGAGACCGAUAGCGAACAAGUACCGUGAGGGAAAGAUGAAAAGAACUUUGAAAAGAGAGUUAAACAGUACGUGAAAUUGUCAAAAGGGAAGCGUUUGACACCAGUGUUGUUUUUCCGAAAAUCAAUUAAGAAUGGCCGGAUUUUAAGUUUCAUGACCUUAAAAGCUUGUUUCUUAUUUUUCUUGUCUUUCUUAAUGCACUUUUCGGUUAACAAGUCAACAUCAAUUUCUUUUGUUGUAAAAGGUUAAGAGGAAGGUGGCUUUACUUUCGGGUAAAGUGUUUAUAGCCUUUUAACUCUGCAAUCGGAGAGAUUGAGGUCUGCAGCGUAGAUCCUUCGGGGCUAGAUACGUUUGUGCUAAGUUAUAGCUUUUCAUAGACAACUCGUUGACUAUGUUUAGUCUUGUAGCUUACUCGCAUGCGCUAUUUUACCUACGCUUAGGAUGUUGACACACGCGCGUGCUCG